rnacentral:rRNA from 1 species
AGUGAACGCUGGCGGCAGGCCUAACACAUGCAAGUAGAACGGUAGCACAGUAAGUGCUUGCUCUUACGGGUGGCGGGUGGCGGAAGGGUCAGGUAUGCAACGUACUCUACAUUUUCGGGGGGGUUAUCGAAGGGAAACUUACUCUCACACCGCAUACGACCUUCGGUUGCAUGCAGGGGAACUUCGGACCUUGCGCGCUUGCAUAAGCCGAUGUCGGAUUUGCUAGUGGGCGGGGUAAAGGCCCACCAAGGGGAGGUUCCGUAGCGGGUCGGAGAGGAUGAUCAGCCACACGGGAACUGAGAAAGGGUCCGGACUCCUACGGGGGGCAGCGGAGGGGAAUAUUGGACAAUGGGCGCAGGCCUGAUCCAGACAGACCGCGUAGGUGAGGAAGGCCUUCGGGUUGUAAAGCCCUUUGGUUGGGAAAGAAGAGUAGCAGGUUAAUACCCCGCUGUUGUGACGGUACCCAAAGAAAAAGCACCGGCUAACUUCGUG